ensembl:misc_RNA
GGAAAGGAAGCUUUAUUGUUUCCAAGGACUCUGCUGGAGGAGUCAUACAAACUUCGCCAUUUCUUCCUCUGAUGUCCAGGUGCCAUGAUUGUCUGAGGAAGGGAGAAAAAGUCUUUGAAGUGGCUACCAGGAUCCUUUGCAGAUCUCUGGGAUGUCAUUCACUCAUGCUUCUGUGCUGGGUGACUCCUACCAUCAUCACAUUCUUCCAAUUCUCCCAGUAGGGUAUGCAGUAGUCAUGUAGGCAGAACCUUCUGAGCUACAGCAAA